CAUGCAGGCGGUCGGACGCGUUUCCAGUGACAGCGGGUGGCUUACCUACCCGAGUAUUGGAAAGACGGUUUGACUUGAGGACUCGAGAGGGACACGGAAUUCCGGGUGGAGUGGUGAAAUGCGUAGAGAUCCGGAGGAACAUCGAAGGCGAAGGCAGUGUCCUGGCGAGUGACUGACGCUGAGGUGCGAAAGCCAGGGGAGCGAACGGGAUUAGAUACCCGGUAGUCCUGGCCGUAAACGAUGACCACCAGGUGUGGGAGGUAUCGACCCCUUCUGUGCCGGAGGAAACCCACUAAGUGGUCCGCCUGGGGAGUACGGUCGCAAGAUUAAA
rnacentral:rRNA from 1 species